AGAGCAUCCGGCUGUUAACCGGAGGGUUGUUGGUUCGAGUCCAACCUGAGGAGCCA
rnacentral:tRNA from 1 species